GUCCCUGUGGCGCAGUGGAUAGCGCCUUGGACUUCUAAUCCAAAGGUCCCGGGUUUGACCCCCCGCAGGGAUG
rnacentral:tRNA from 1 species